UACGAAGGGUGCAAGCGUUACUCGGAAUUACUGGGCGUAAAGCGUGCGCAGGCGGUUUUGUAAGCCAGAUGUGAAAUCCCCGGGCUUAACCUGGGAAUGGCAUUUGGGACUGCAAGGCUUGAGUGCGGCAGAGGAGACUGGAAUUCCUGGUGUAGCAGUGAAAUGCGUAGAUAUCAGGAGGAAUACCGAUGGCGAAGGCAGGUCUCUGGGCUGACACUGACGCUCAUGCACGAAAGCGUGGGGAGCAAACAGG
rnacentral:rRNA from 1 species